CCUACGGGAGGCAGCAGUAGGGAAUCUUCCACAAUGGACGAAAGUCUGAUGGAGCAACGCCGCGUGAGUGAAGAAGGGUUUCGGCUCGUAAAGCUCUGUUGGUAGUGAAGAAAGAUAGAGGUAGUAACUGGCCUUUAUUUGACGGUAAUUACUUAGAAAGUCACGGCUAACUACGUCCCAGCAGCCGCGGUAAUACGUAGGUGGCAAGCGUUGACCGGAUUUAUUGGGUGUAAAGCGAGUGCAGGCGGUUCAAUAAGUCUGAUGUGAAAGCCUUCGGCUCAACCGGAGAAUUGCAUCAGAAACUGUUGGACUUGAGUGCAGAAGAGGAGAGUGGAACGCCAUGUGUAGCGGUGGAAUGCGUAGAUAUAUGGAAGAACACCAGUGGCGAAGGCGGCUCUCUGGUCUGCAACUGACGCUGAGGCUCGAAAGCAUGGGUAGCGAACAGGAUUAGAUACCCUUGUAGUC
rnacentral:rRNA from 1 species